UUUUUUUUUUUUUUUAAGGUAUUUGAGGGUUUUAAUGAGAAAACCUUCUCAAACAACCGAUUUGGUAGAUAGGAAAAUAGAGGUUUGGGAGGUUUCAAUAAUCUCCAAAAACCAUACUUUAAUCCCAAACACAUAUCCAAGAUUUUGAAAUGUUGAAAAACGUCCCAUUACUUUAUAAAACUUCCUCUCAAACAGAGGCUAAAAGGCUCUAGAAAGCUUAUCUUCACCCCACAAUCUAAUUCAAAUUGUCAUCAAGAUGUAAAUCCUAUAUUUCCAAUCUGCAGCAGCACUUUUCUCAAAUGAAACAUAUAUGAAUCAGAAAGCUAAUAUACCAGUCUGAAUUUAGUUUACAUGUCAAAAGUGUUUUAGGUAAUGCAAAGUUAACCUUUACAUCCUUGAACAUGUUCAUAUAAAAAGGAUGUUUGAAAUGCAUCACCCAUUGUCUGGAGUCUAACAAAAUCUUGUGAAGUUCUAAAUCUAAUAAUAGAUUAAUUCAAUAAAUAAUGUACAUCCAGAUAAAUGACAUGCUUAAUUAAAUUUAAGCUCGGUACAAGUUUCUGUUGUUCUUUAUGUCUG
rnacentral:misc_RNA from 1 species